CCGUAACUAUAACGGUCCUAAGGUAGCGAAAUUCCUUGUCGGGUAAGUUCCGACCCGCACGAAAGGCGUAAUGAUUUGAGCGCUGUCUCGACAAUGCACCCGGUGAAAUUGAAAUACCAGUGAAGAUGCUGGUUACCUGCGCCAGGACGGAAAGACCCCAUGGAGCUUUACUCCAGCUUGAUACUGGGAUUCGGUAUUGCAUGUACAGGAUAGGUGGGAGGCUUUGAAUCAUGGACGCCAGUCUGUGAGGAGCCGCUGUUGGGAUACCACCCUUGCGGUAUUGGAUUUCUAACCUGCAGCCGUUAGCCGGCUGGGGGACAAUGUCAGGCGGGGAGUUUGACUGGGGCGGUCGCCUCCGAAAGGGUAUCGGAGGCGCUCAAAGGUUCCCUCAGAAUGGUUGGAAACCAUUCGAAGAGUGCAAAGGCAGAAGGGAGCUUGACUGCGACACCGACGGGUGGAGCAGGUACGAAAGUAGGACUUAGUGAUCCGGUGGUAUGAAAGUGGGAUUGCCAUCGCUCAACGGAUAAAAGCUACCCUGGGGAUAACAGGCUUAUCACUCCCAAGAGUUCACAUCGACGGAGUGGUUUGGCACCUCGAUGUCGGCUCAUCGCAUCCUGGGGCUGUAGUAGGUCCCAAGGGUUGGGCUGUUCGCCCAUUAAAGCGGUACGCGAGCUGGGUUCAGAACGUCGUGAGACAGUUCGGUCCCUAUCCGGCGUGGGCGUAGGAUAUUUGAGAGGAGCUGUCCUUAGUACGAGAGGACCGGGAUGGACGGACCGCUGGUGUAUCUGUUGUACUGCCAAGUGCAUAGCAGAGUAGCCAAGUCUGGAAGGGAUAAACGCUGAAGGCAUCUAAGCGUGAAGCCCCCCUCAAGAUGAGAUAUCCCAUAACGUCAAGUUAGUAAGACCCCUUGAAGACGACGAGGUAGAUAGGGCAGAGGUGGAAGUGUGGCAACACAUGGAGCUGACUGUUACUAAUCGGUCGAGGGCUUGACCAA
rnacentral:rRNA from 1 species